rnacentral:lncRNA from 1 species
GCGGCAGUGGUGGAUCCAGGGGGAGGGUUCCGGUGGUUGGAUCCCCCCCGGCCCUUUUUUGGACGAUCAAUGCAUUUGAAUGGGGACAUGUACUUGGCAAACCCCAAAUUUUGUACUUGCGCCAGACGCGCGUUUCGUCUACAAAGAACACAUCAAUGUCGCUCGAAACAAACGUGACAAAAAAUUAGAUUUUUUAAAUAUUUUUGCUGUUUCUAUUGUAACGGCCGCCAUUUUAAAAUUUCAAAUUUCAAAGUCAAACAACGGCUGCAUAUUGUGCUCCCCAUGAUAAUAUACCAUCAUUUAACAUUUAAUAUCUGUAGAAUUAAUUCAACACUAAUGUUCUGGAAGGUUCCAUGAAAAUUCUCC